rnacentral:snRNA from 1 species
CCAACCCAUUCACGACAUCUUUU